rnacentral:rRNA from 1 species
CCUACGGGAGGCAGCAGUGAGGAAUAUUGGUCAAUGGACGAGAGUCUGAACCAGCCAAGUAGCGUGAAGGAUGACUGCCCUAUGGUUUGUAAACUUCUUUUAUAUGGGAAUAAAAUGUUCCACGUGUGGGAUUUUGUAUGUACCAUAUGAAUAAGGAUCGGCUAACUCCGUGCCAGCAGCCGCGGUAAUACGGAGGAUCCGAGCGUUAUCCGGAUUUAUUGGGUUUAAAGGGAGCGUAGGUGGAUUGUUAAGUCAGUUGUGAAAGUUUGCGGCUCAACCGUAAAAUUGCAGUUGAAACUGGCAGUCGUGAGUACAGUAGAGGUGGGCGGAAUGCGUGGUGUAGCGGUGAAAUGCAUAGAUAUCACGAAGAACUCCGAUUGCGAAGGCAGCUCACUGGACUGCAACUGACACUGAGGCUCGAAAGUGUGGGUAUCAAACAGGAUUAGAUACCCUAGUAGUC